rnacentral:rRNA from 1 species
UAGCGGAGGAAAAGAAACUAACAAGGAUUCCCCUUGGAAAUGCGAGGAAGAGGGAAAAGCUCAAAUUUAAAAUCUGGUAGCUUUGCUGCCCGAGUUGUAAUUUAGAGAAGUGAUGCCCGCGCUGGACCGUGUAUAAGUCUCCUGGAAUGGUGCGUCAUAGAGGGUGAGAAUCCCGUCUUUGACACGGACUCCCAGUGCAUUGUGGUACGCUCUCAAAGAGUCGUGUUGUUUGGGAAUGCAGCACUAAAUGGGUGGUAAAUUCCAUCUAAAGCUAAAUAUUGGCGAGAGACCGAUCGCAAACAAGUACCGUGAGGGAAAGAUGAAAAGAACUUUGGAAAGAGAGUGAAACAGUACGUGAAAUUGUUGAAAGGGAAACGCUUGAAGUCAGUCGCAUUGUCUGGGAAUCAGUCUUGCUUUUGCUUGAUGUACUUUCCAGUUAAUGGGUCAGCAUCAGUUUUGAUCGUUGGAUAAAGGCUGAAGGAAUGUGGCAUCUCCGGGAUGUGUUAUAGCCUUCAGUUGCAUACAACGGUCGGGACUGAGGAAUUCAGCACGCCGCAAGGCCGGGUCUCGUACCACGUUCGUGCUAGGAUGCU